GUCAAAACAGUCACAAACCCAUGCAGAUUCUAGGAAAGGGAACAUAGACACCGCUGCCCUAAUGAGAGGACUCACACUCUGACUCCAAAAGUGGAAAGAAGAAGCAAUGUCACAGGAAAAUCGGAAAGCGAUUAUACCAGAAAUGGGAUAAGACCAGACAGGAAAAAUACCCCCAACAAAGGAAAGUAAAGAUCAUAUGAGGAAUCCAGUCACUGGUGAACUAGAACAGCAAGGUUAAAAUGAUCAUGGUAAGCACAGUGACUCCAUUCAGAGCCAAACAUUCCUGAACCUAUGUUGCAUCAGAUUCCUCUGCCCAGCGACAAUCUGGAUUCCAGAAUUUAGAGCAAGAGUCACGCAGUUGAAGACUCCAUCACCCAGGAGAGGCAGGUGGCUCCGGCUUUGGGGCUGGAGGAUUUGAAAGCAGGCUAAAAAGUCAUCACAAUUUUGUUCUCCACUAGGCUAGAGGGUUUUAGUGGCCACAGAACUUUUAAAAACUCUACGUAUAGAUUUUGUUGGAUCAAAUCUUAAAUAAAGAUUAGAGGUUUGAAAAAUAAAAUCUAUGAAAAGA